rnacentral:rRNA from 1 species
UACGAAGGGGGCUAGCGUUGCUCGGAAUUACUGGGCGUAAAGGGCGCGUAGGCGGCACUGUUAGUCAGGCGUGAAAGUCCUGGGCUCAACCUGGGAACUGCGCUUGAUACGGACAGAGCUAGAGGAUGGAAGAGGGUCGCGGAAUUCCCAGUGUAGAGGUGAAAAUUCGUAGAUAGUUGGGAAGAACACCGGUGGCGAAGGC